UACGAAGGGGCUAGCGUUGCUCGGAAUCACUGGGCGUAAAGCGCACGUAGGCGGGUCUUUAAGUCAGGGGUGAAAUCCUGGAAGCUCCAACUCCCGAACUGCCUUUGAUACUGAGGAUCUCGAGUCCGGGAGAGGUGAGUGGAACUCCGAGUGGUAGGAGGUGAAAUUCGUAGAUAUUUCGGAAAGAACACCAGUGGGCGAA
rnacentral:rRNA from 1 species